CGUAACGGGUGAGUAAUGCGUGACCAACCUCGCCCCAUGCUCCAGAAUAGCUCUUGGAAACGGGUGGUAAUGCUGGAUGCUCCAACUUGACGCAUGUCUUGUUGGGAAAGUGUUUAGUGGCAUGGGGUGGGGUCGCGUCCUAUCAGCUUGUAGGCGGGGUAAUGGCCCACCUAGGCUUCGACGGGUAGCCGGCCUGAGAGGGCGGACGGCCACAUUGGGACUGAGAUACGGCCCAGACUCCUACGGGAGGCAGCAGGG
rnacentral:rRNA from 1 species